GACGAACGCUGGCGGCGUGCUUAACACAUGCAAGUCGAACGGAAAGGCCCUGCUUUUGUGGGGUGCUCGAGUGGCGAACGGGUGAGUAACACGUGAGUAACCUGCCCUUGACUUUGGGAUAACUUCAGGAAACUGGGGCUAAUACCGGAUAGGAGCUCCUGCUGCAUGGUGGGGGUUGGAAAGUUUCGGCGGUUGGGGAUGGACUCGCGGCUUAUCAGCUUGUUGGUGGGGUAGUGGCUUACCAAGGCUUUGACGGGUAGCCGGCCUGAGAGGGUGACCGGCCACAUUGGGACUGAGAUCCGGCCCAGACUCCUCCGGGAGGCAGCAGUGGGGAAUAUUGCACAAUGGGCGGAGGCCUGAUGCAGCAACGCCGCGUGCGGGAUGACGGCCUUCGGGUUGUAAACCGCUUUCGCCUGUGACGAAGCGUAAGUGACGGUAAUGGGUAAAGAAGCACCGGCUAACUACGUG
rnacentral:rRNA from 1 species